GAUGUACUCCCUCCGUUUGGAAUUACUUGUCGUAGAAAUGGAUGUAUCUAGAUGUAUUUUAGUUCUAGAUACAUCCAUUUCCGAGACAAGUAAUUCCGAAUGGAGGGAGUAUAAU
rnacentral:pre_miRNA from 1 species